rnacentral:rRNA from 1 species
ACGGAGGGGGCUAGCGUUAUUCGGAAUUAUUGGGCGUAAAGGGCGCGUAGGCGGCCUGCUAAGUCGAACGUGAAAUCCCCGGGCUCAACCCGGGAACUGCGUCCGAUACUGACAGGCUUGAAUCCGGGAGAGGGAUGUGGAAUUCCAGGUGUAGCGGUGAAAUGCGUAGAUAUCUGGAGGAACACCUGCGGCGAAGGCGGGUUGCUGGGCAGAAACUGACGCUGAGGCGCGAAAGCUAGGGGAGCAAACAGGA